UGUGACUUUGAGAUUCUAUGUUCACUGAGC
rnacentral:piRNA from 1 species